UCUCUCUCUCCAGGUCGAGACAUGGCCAACACAACCCUACCAGGUUAUCCCCCUCACGUACCCCCCACCGGCCAAGGCAGCUACCCCACCUCAACACUGGCCGGAAUGGUUCCUGGGAGUGAGUUUACAGGAAACCCUUACAGUCAUCCACAGUACACGACCUACAACGAGGCAUGGCGGUUCAGCAACCCAGCAUUACUAAGUUCCCCUUAUUAUUAUAGUGCCACAUCCAGAGGUUCCGGACCACCUACUGCUGCCACGGCAUAUGACCGCCACUAGUUACCAUGGAAACCAAAUCAACCACCACCACCUACACCAUGACUACAACCAUGGCUUCGGCAGUGUCCAUGUUGCCCCGGUGUGAACAGAGGGCAUGAGGGGAUACCGUUAAAGACAGCUAACAGGCAGCUCCAUUUCCUGUAAAUCCCACUACUACACACAACAGAAGAAGAACGGUCCUCCUGGAUACCACACUACUACACACAACAGAAGAAGAACGGUCCUCCUGGAUACCACACUACUACACACAACAGAAGAAGAACAGUCCUCCUGUAUAUCACACUACUACACACAACAGAAGAAGAACGGUCCUCCUGGAUACCACACUACUACACACAACAGAAGAAGAACGGUCCUCCUGGAUACCACACUACUACACACAACAGAAGAAAAACGGUCCUCCUGGAUACCACACUACUACACACAACAGAAGAAGAACGGUCCUCCGGGAUACUACACAAAACAGCAAAUUACCUGAUCGUUCGGGAUACCACACUACUACACACAACAGAAAAUUACCUGAUCGUUCGGGAUACCACACUACUACACACAACAGAAGAAGAACGGUCCUCCUGGAUACCACACUACUACACACAACAGAAAAUUACCUGAUCGUUCGGGAUACCACACUACUACACACAACAGAAAAUUACCUGAUCGUUCGGGAUACCACACUACUACACACAACAGAAAAUGACCUGAUCGUUCAGGAUACCACACUACUACACACAACAGAAAAUUACCUGAUCGUUCAGGAUACCAUGCAGACAACUUCCCAUCAACCAUGAAUUUGAAUUCCUUCAAAGUAGUGAAAAAUGUAAAAUUCUUCGUUCUGAUCUGCGUGACUGUACAUUACCACUAGAGACUUUGAAAGACUAUAUAUACGUGAUACUACUGAGGUUACUGAGGU